rnacentral:rRNA from 1 species
UACGAAGGGGGCUAGCGUUGCUCGGAAUUACUGGGCGUAAAGCGCACGUAGGCGGAUCUUUAAGUCAGGGGUGAAAUCCUGGAGCUCAACUCCAGAACUGCCUUUGAUACUGAGGACCUUGAGUUCGGGAGAGGUGAGUGGAACUGCGAGUGUAGAGGUGAAAUUCGUAGAUAUUCGCAAGAACACGCGUGGCGAAGGCGGCUCUCUGGGACGGUACUGACGCUGAGACGCGAAAGCGUGGGGAGCGAACAGG